UACAAACAAGUAGUUAAUAGUGAAGUGUAUUAAUAACUAGUAUGACGUUUUAAAUGCUCAGUUUUCGCCUAAUAUAUAAAGAAAGCUAUCGCAGUGAGACGUCCAGAUCUGCACUCGAAACAUCAACACACAGAGGAAGGAAGCCCACAAAAGCACAAGAAUGAAGUGCGUUGCAUUAUUUAUUGUUCUUGCUGUUGUGAUGGCAGUUAAUGCUGCACCAGAUCCUGGGGGUAAGUUAAUUUACCUAAUGAGUCUUAAAACUAAUUUAAUUAUUAUUAAUAAACGUUAUUUAAAAUAUACUUUCAUUACUUAAAUCAUAAUUUUUCGGUAAAAUAUUGAUUUUAAAUCAAUUUUAAGCUGAUUUUAAGUUGACUUCAGCGAAUUUGAGUUGACUUAAAUAUUUUCUAACAAUUAGAUGAAUUCUUUUAGUACUUAAAAAAAUGUAACACCAUUAAUUAUUUAACGGUGAGCCCUAUUUUUGUCUGAUCCA